GGUACCCGCUUCAUGGCCGAGAAUGCUUGGGAAAAUUCCCUCGGGGUCGGACCCCUCAAGGGUGUAUAUAUCCGUGUGACAGAGUGCGUUCGAGUGGACUUUCACGCGAACUUCGCCAGGUCCGGGGGGGGCCACCGU
rnacentral:SRP_RNA from 15 species